rnacentral:rRNA from 1 species
UGGGGAAUUUUGGACAAUGGGCGAAAGCCUGAUCCAGCCAUGCCGCGUGCGGGAAGAAUGCCUUCGGUUUGUAAACCGCUUUAGUCCGGGAAAAAGGGCUGACGUGCUAAUACCGCUUUGGUUUGAUGGUACUGGAAGAAUAAGCACCUGCUACCUACGUGCCCGCAGCCGCGGUAAUACGUAGGGUUCGAGCGUUAUUCGGAAUUACUGGGCGUAACGCGUGCGCAGGCGGUCUUGUAAGACAGUCGUGAAAGCCCCGGGCUUAACCUGGGAAGUGCGAUGGAGACUGGAAGGCUAGAGUGUGGUAGAGGGGAGUGGAAUUCCGCGUGUAGCAGUGAAAUGCGUAGAGAUGUGGAGGAACACCGAUGGCGAAGGCAGCCACCUGGAAUAACACUGACGCUCAUGCACGAAAGCGUGGGGAGCAAACA